rnacentral:lncRNA from 1 species
AUGUGAAUGCAUUGGGUGCACCUCGGGGUCCUUGGAUGGACGUCUGAAUGAACAUAGGAGGGAUGUUGAGCGAAAGGCAUCAACAAUGACGCUGGCGCAAAGGGCCUUGUCUUCGGAUGUGGCUGUGGACUGGAGCCGGUCGGGGCUUCUCUGCGGGCGGCGCGGCCCGGGGGGGGGUAGAGUGGCAGAGGCUGUCUCCAUAUGCAUGAGUGGAUCGGGGGAGGUUGAGCCAAUUGAUCGGCUUGACCCGGCAUCCAUUAGCACCGCUUGGAGGUCCUGCACUGAAGGGUGGGCAUCCUAUAUUGUCUACUUGUGC